GACAAAAUAGUACCAGAUGAUGAGUUACUUUAAUGUUGAUCAAUGGGGUCCAUCGAGUUUUUCUUUUUCUUGGGGACUACCCCUUCUUUGUCUGAUAAAGAGACUAGUGUCAUCUUCACAGUGUUUCUUCCCUUUGAUCUCUUCUAUAUGUUUUCUGCAAACCAUUAUCAUUAUUAAAUUACAACUACGUACCAAAGGUUUUUGGAAGUCACUAAUUGACGUUCUUAUUGCUCAGAAACAAGAUACUAUUUCAGGGUUUUCCUGUUUAUCUCAUAAUUAUUUAUCUUUUCUGACUCUGAUUCCUGAACUGGAUUUGCACAAAAUCCAAUGUGUAAUUCCAAGAUCUAGAGUUAGAAAUAUGGGAAGGUUAACAAGGGGUCCCUUUGAAAAGUUCUCCGGUGGACCCAACCUAAAUCUAAAGAAACAACGUUUAUCGAAGUUGUGUUUUUUUUUUCUUUAUAUUCCAUCUAUAAAGAAAGGUGGCACUCUUAUACAUCCCAUGUUAAAAGAAAAUCCCAUACUUUGUCUCUCUUCUUCUUCAUCACCACCACCUUGGCUCUGAAAUUCGAAUUGUAUAUGAGGUGGAGGGUGGCGUUAUAUAUUCUAACAGCGUUAAAAACAUGAUUGGGAGAAGGGUUUUGAAGGGAUAAUUAGAAGAUAGAAGAGAGUGUGUGAUGGGUAGGGUGGUUUUCAGAGCGGUUUUGUUGGUGGGAUUUUGCUGGUUUUUGUUGUUUGUGGUUUUGAAAACCGAUCAACUUCCAUUUAAUCCAAGUUUUGGUGGUUUUAAGUCAAGUUAUAAAGCAAGAAGGGAUCAAGAAGAGGGUUUGGUUUACGUGAGCAAGAGAAGAGUGCCCAAUGGACCUGAUCCUAUCCACAACAGGAGAACGAGAAACACAAGACAGCCUCCUGAUCGAGCCUAGAAAAGCUUAGAAGAAUCGUGUAUAUGGGUUAUGUUUGAUAAUGGAGCUAGGUGAUGCAUGUUCAUUCUUGAAAGAAGAAAGAAAGAAAAAAGAAAGAGAAAGGGUGAAGCUUUUUUAAGGUAUUUGAUGGGUGUGUGUUUCUUUUCUGUAAACUUUGAAUUCAAAGAUUCAUGGAUCGAUUGAGAUGUUUGCUUUUGCAUGAACUUUGAAGAUUUUAAAAAAGAAAAAAGAAAAAAAAAAAAAAAAAAAGGAAUGUAUUAAUUAGGAUGAGAUGAGAGGGAUACAUCAAUGUUGAGGGUCCCUUUUUGCAAACAUAUUUUUGUAGGUGGUAUGGUAUGUAAAGAUGAAUUUAUUUUGCUUUAAUUAGCUUUCAAUUCAAGGGUUGGCUUUA